UGGGUUCUUCUCCUGCUUGCUUACUUUCCCGAGGUGUCGCUCCUGCGGGAGUCCUGGGCUGGCUGACUGUGUGUUCUCUUUUCCAGGAGGGCGUUGUCACAGAGUCCCAGGUGCACUGUGUCGUUCACUGUAGAAACCCAGUGGAGCGCCCGGGAGCCUGCUGCCCCACCUGUCCAGGCUGCCUGUUCCAAGGUGUGCAGUACGGCGAGGGAGAGGCGUUUUGGCCGGAAGGGAGCAAGUGCACCAAGUGUUCCUGCCUCCAGUAGCUCGGCAACAGUGGCCAGUGUGCAGGGCCGCUGUGGGGACGUCUGCCUGAGAAUGCCGGGUUCCCGGGCCUGGCCGGGCUGUGCAGCACCAGGUGCAAAGUGGGCCAGGGCUGUCCAGCUGUGGACCGCGGGCUCUGGUGGGUGCAGUACGUCGGGGGAGAGGCUGUCCUGCCGAGCCGGAGGACAGAACUGGAGCAUCAGGCUUCAGGAUCUCCACACGGCACAGGAAGGAAUACAGCAACCUGCAGUGCUCUGAUGAAAAGGAAAACAUUAACGCAGCAGAGAGAGAUGCAAGCACACUGUGCCUUUGAGUAGGACGCUGUCCCUCGUCACCUCCCGGGGAUUGGUGUCAGGACCCACCACGGACAUCGAUGCCCACAGACCAAGUCCCUGUCCUUCUGUCCUAUGCCUGUCUAACCUGCACACUUCCCUCCUGAGGACUUUAAGUCACCCUAGAUUGCUUGCAAUACUAAAACAGCGCAGCUGCUGUGUAUUUGUUGUGCUCUAUCGUUUAGGAAGUGAUGACAAGAAAAAAAAUCUAUGUGCCGAGUACAGACAAGUAUUUUCCAAAUAUUCUCGGUCUGUGAGUGGUUGACCCCAUAGGUGUGGAACCCAUGGAUAUGGAAGCCAGCUCCGUUAUAUGGACCUGUAUUUGUGUGUACGUGUGUCUGUGAGUGCGUGUGGACACACGUCUGCACGUAUGACCCAAAUAUGGUCAAAAUGAGUGAUGAACAGUAAAGCACACAUCACCAUCGAUCCUGUUCGCGACCCUCCCUCUCUUCAGACGCACUUAGCUCAUCGUUCCUGCCAUUUUCUGAAGCGGUUCUGAAAGUCUUCUUUCACGAGUGUCUUUCUGCGGUGUGGGUAUAAACACCGUGAAUGCUGCUGCGGAGUGCCGUCCCACGGACAGGUACACACAUAGCAACGUGCUGGUGAGUCCUCAUCCACCUCCCUCAUCACCUCUGGUACUGCGAGACUGCUGGCUCUUCCUCAAAGUCAAAAUAAGCAUAAAAGGGGAAGGUUUUGAAUGGACUCGGGACAUUGGGGCAGCCACAGCAGCAAUGAAGGAUACUCGGGACAGAGGACUUGCAGAACUGCUUCAGAAAGUGCAGUACAAAGUGCGUUCAAAGUGAGGGGAGUGUUGCCGAGGAUUAAUAGCCACGCGUCUUCUACUGUCAUGAAUUUUUAAGAGUCGGAAC
rnacentral:lncRNA from 1 species